GAUGAACGCUGGCGGCGUGCCUAAUACAUGCAAGUCGAGCGAACAGACGAGGAGCUUGCUCCUCUGACGUUAGCGGCGGACGGGUGAGUAACACGUGGAUAACCUACCUAUAAGACUGGGAUAACUUCGGGAAACCGGAGCUAAUACCGGAUAAUAUAUUGAACCGCAUGGUUCAAUAGUGAAAGACGGUUUUGCUGUCACUUAUAGAUGGAUCCGCGCCGCAUUAGCUAGUUGGUAAGGUAACGGCUUACCAAGGCAACGAUGCGUAGCCGACCUGAGAGGGGGAUGGGCAAAACUGAAACUGAGACACGGUCCAGAUCCUUAGGGGAGGCAGAGGAAGGGAAUCUCCGGCAAGGGGCGAAGCCUGAAGGAGGAAACGCGGGGGAAGGGAGAAGGGUUUGCGAAUGGAAAACCUCUGUAAUAGGGGAAAAAAAAAGGUGAAAGUAACAAUGAAGGUUUGAAGGGAACCAAACCAGAAGGCAACGCUAAACUAGGG
rnacentral:rRNA from 1 species